ACUGUUUUGUGUGUGGCACUUCGCUCUCUAGUGGCAGACUGCAAUUUUGAUUUUAAAAACUCUGCAAGAUAUUUUGCUUUCUUGCCAGAUGUCUCCCAUUUAUUCACUAGCGCGACAACUUUGGCCACAGCUAUAACCAGUCUCCUGAUGAGGCCUCAAGAGGCAGCGCUCUAUUCAAUUUCAGUCCUUGCCUAGCCAGAAAGCCCCCUCUGAUGGGAUGCCUGCCCCACCGUCCCGCUUCCUGGGGAAAGAGCAGCCAAUCAGGCCCCUCGCGGGGGAGCCAGAGUUGGGAGGUGGCGAGGGUUGGAGAGCCCAGAAGCUUACUCGGGGAUCCCCUCCCGUGAGUAAUGAGCCCAGUCCGCCCUCUCCAUCUCCGCGGGCCUGGGACGGGGAGGAGGGUGCAAAGCCCACACCGCUGCCUACCCCCACGCUGGAGGGGAAGAAGAGGCGCCCGGGGGCUGAAGAACCGCAGGCACUGCCAGAGGAGCCCGGCAUGGUAUCGGGGGACACUGUCAUCGUACCUGGAGCGCUGGAAGAAUCCACACUGGGAAAGGGAACAGUUUAGGAUUAAAAUUACAAUCAAAGUACUGUAAUGAUCACUAGGAAUAACAUCUGGGAACACAAAGGUAAGCAUCGUAUCUUUAAUAACCAUCCACUAGAGGAGGAAACAGUGGACAUACAUCCCCCCUUCCUAUAGAGCAGUGGUUUUUAACCCUUUUUCAUUUGCAGACCCCUACAAUAUUUCAAAUGGAAGUGCAGACCCCUUUGGAAAUCUUAGGCGUAGUAUGCAGACUCCCAGGAAUCCAUGGACCACAGGUUGAAAACCGCUGCUCUAUUGUAAUGGCAACCUUUCACGGAUCCCUUACACAGUCUGCGGUUCACCAAGAGUCCACAGGUUGAAAACCAUGGCUGUAAAGGAUUCAUUCAAUUGUGGAAGGAAAAAGGAAGCAGAAAUUGGCUUGCAACAGUGACACUUCCAAGGCUUUUGCUUGGUCACAGACUAGGCAUUGAGUGCAAAGAUCAUUUUCCUGCCCCUCACACUCGGCUCCAGGGUAGAGUCCUCCAGGAAAAUAAAUUUAUAACAAAGUCCUCCAUAACAAUCCUUUUUCUGUCGACUAAGAACCACAUUAAAUGCCCAAGGCUAUUUAGUUUUGUGGAAUUCUGUGCCACUGCAUAUGUAAAGAAUUCAUGGUCCCCAUAGAUUUUUUUUUUCCUUUGCAAAAUAUAGAUUCUGCUGGAGAGGCAAUGCAGUUAUGCCUUUCACUCACCAGGGGUGGCUGUGGCACCAGAAAAGACAGCAGCCAGCUGUUGGCUGAAAGGUUGAUUCUUCACAGGAGGGCCAGGUGAGGAGACACAGGAGGGACAGAGGGGGGCACAUGGGGCUGCUGGGGGAUCACAGACUGGGGUUCAGAAGGGCUAGUGGGAGAAACAGACUGGGGAGCUGGCUCAGGAGCCAGUGGAGUAACAGCAUUGAGCCAGGGGCUGAAUGUGAAGGGAGCUGCAGGGCCACAUGGAGACAGGGAGAGGAGGAGCAGCAGGGGAUGGGGGCAGAUGUGCUUGACUGAAUGGGAGAGGCUAGAGGUCAGCCAGGGUCUGCAUGAGGGAGGCUCCCUAACUCUGUAACAAAUCACUUCUCCCCAAAUAAAACUUGUUCCAUACUUCUCCCACCCACAUACAACAACCCUCCAGGUUCACUCCCAGGUUCCUUCUCUCUUCUGUUACCCCUGACUCCCCUAAGUCUUUGCACUGCUUCUGAGGGGUGCAGGAAAUAUGUUACUGUAUUGUACUUUAAAUGAAUUAUUACUCAAAGUUAUGUAUGAUGUACUUAAUAAGGAGUCUAUUUGUCAAAAAGAGUUUCCUGAAUUGUUUUGUUUUGUUUAUAGUUACAGACAUACUUGCUGACAGGUAUUUUGAAAUAAAUUACCAAAAUAAUUGAAACUGGUGCGAUUAUAUUGUGUUAUUUUGACAAAUAUGCAGAAUUUUAAAAUAUUGUGCACAAAAUUUUUAUUUUUUUGGUGCAGAAUUCCCCUAGGAGUAGCCAUUGUUCUUGUGUACAGGUCUUCCAUGAGGGUCCUCAGUUUUUACUCUUUCUCCUUUGUUCUGAAAG